AUUCUGCUCAAAUUGAGCUUCACUAACAAGGGGGCCGCCGCAGCCCCCCUCUCUCCGAGCGCUUGUCACAUCAGGGCUCUAAGAGAAGCGCCCAGACCUGACUAAACCGACGAAUGGAAUUGGCGACCUGCGCCUUCUGAUUGGAGUCCCGCGUACCAGCUGACCUCCGCAGGCUCUGCCACAAAAACCGGAGAGACGUGGAGACGGACGCCACUGGAAUUCUAACCGGCGCGCCCGGGAGGACACUGGAACUGAGCCGCCGCACCAUGAAAAUCGGUGCAAAACUGGGGAGCCGCACAAGAAAAGGUGAACUGAAUUGAGCCCAACAGCCUUUCCCAAACGUUCUUUUGAAUCUCGCACUUCCAGUUAACAGUAGAAGCAGCCAUGGAUCCUAAGAGGCAGUCCUCACCACAGAAGCAGACGGUGAAAAACCGAUCCAGAUCUACGGACGAAAUCCAGCAGGCAAAAAAGGCCUUUCACACUCCUCAAAAGUCGCUUCCAGGAAACAGAGAAUUGGAUCAGCUGAAGGAGUCCACUGAUCUCGCUGAGAAGUCUCCUACAUCUGAGGAGCUGUCCAAGGGGGCCGCCUGAGUGGAGAUGCUUGGCCCUUCUGGAUGCUUCAAAUCGCCUUUGGAAAUUUAUUUUUUAUUCUUUUCUGACAUCCAAACGAUGUGUACACACAUUUGUCUGCUGCACUGCCACUGCUCUGUAAAUGCCAGAGGGGGAAUACAAGAAGCUGGGAAGAGGUGGACCACCCUGACGUUGUCCUUUUAUUUUUAAUCAUUUUUUCAUUCAAAUGGGUUAGAUUUUAAUUGUUAAAAUGUACGUGUUCUUUUCAGUUCUCCUUAAUGUGCAGUGGUUGGGGGUUCUGGUUUGGUGUAGCCGAUCCUGGCGGCACUGGAUGCAAGUCAGGAAAUGGCCACGGAUGGGCCACCCAUCCUUCGCAGGGCCCACUCAUGUAGACCCUCAUAUAGGGGCCAGUUUAUUACAUGUGACGUGCAUGACUUUGGAGCUAUAGGAGGAGAAUGGGCAGACCCCACAUGGGCAGCAAGCCGCCUUGGGGUUUGAACCCGGAAUGAUGGAGCUGUGUGGCAGAAGUGCCUGCCAUUGUGCCACUCUUGAAACGUAACAUGAUGACUUGUCAAAAAACAAAGCAGUGCAGCAUUUUAAAUGCACAGACCCUCAAGUCAUCAUAGUGUAAGAGGGGCUUUAGGUGACUUACACCUUCAGUUAAAUGAAGGAGGCGUUUCUGUCUGGACAGUUCAUUUCACAGUGAAGCUCAUUCCAAAGUACUGAGACAAUGGAGGCCUCAAGAUUGUUUGUGCAGGUGUCAUCACAUACACGUUGUGUGACCCCGACUGAGUGUCCUAAUCUGCUGCUUUAUGGAAAUACUAGCUGUGCUACCCAUCUAACAUGGGGGGAAAUCUAAGUAAUCAACUUAGACCUCAAUGUUAAUGUUUGCAGUGCUCCACCUAUUGGAAUUUAUUUCGUAAUGCAUGUACUAAUAAAAUGCAUUGCAUUUUUUCCAACAGAUGGUGCAUCACAAACAUCUCUAGUAAUACAAUGCAUUAUGACAAAUCUUUAUAAUGUGGCAUCUGUUAGAAUGACAAACGGAAUGCAUAUGUCUCUGUUAUAUGCAAUUCGGUAAGGGAUUUGCAAAAAGCAGUGUUAAUGUUUGUGAUGCACCAUCUGUUGGAAUGACAAAUGCAAUGCAUAUGUCUCUGUUAUAUGCCAUUUGGUAUGGGAUUUGUAAAAGCAGUGUUAAUGUUUGUGAUGUACCAUCUGUUGGAAUGAAAAAUGCAAUGCAUGUCUCUGUUAUUUGCCGUUUGGUAUGGGAUUCGUAAAAGUAGUAAUGUUUAUAAUGCGCCAUCUGUUGGAAUAAAAAAUGCAAUGCAUGUCUCUGUUAUUUGCCAUUUGGUAUGGGAUUCGUAAAAGCAGUGUUAAUGUAUUUGAUGCACCAUCUUUUGGAAUGAAAAAUGCAAUGCAUAUGUCUAUGUUAUAUGCCAUUUGGUAUGGGAUUUGUAAAAGCAGUGUUAAUGAUGCGUCAUCUGUUGGAAUGACAAAUGAAGUGCAAAUGUCUCUGCUAUAAGCAAAUCGGUAAGGGAUUUACAAAAAGCAGUGUUAAAAGUUGUGAUGCUCCAUCUAUUGAAAUGACAAAUGAAGUGCAAAUGUCUCUUCUUCUUCUUGGCAGUGUUAAAAUUUGUGAUGCUCCAUCUGUUGGAAAGACACAUGUAAUGCACUUUAUUACUACAAAUGCUUGUGAUACAUCAUCUGAUGAAUGAUGAAACACAGUAACUUGGUCCUGCAAACAUUUCUAGCCCAAUGGCAGCUGAGAACCUGUCUAAUGGCUCUGUUGAACAGCCCAAUGAAUUACAUUUGCUCUCUGUAGACUAUAAAAUACAACAUUAAAUCGAUCAGCCUUGUUUAACUUGGAAUAUUAAGGAUGGGGAGAAGCAGCAAAGGAGGUGGGGUUUGCUUCUUUCAGUAUUGAGAACAAUGACAAGUUUGGGGUUGGGGUUGGUGAUGCAGAUACCCUUUAAAAGUAGCCCAAAAACCGCACACUGCCAAAUCAAUUUUUUGUCUCACACAACACUUUCAAAAAUCCUUCAAUUUGGAGAAGAAACAGGCAAGGCAGUAUUGUAUAGCAGUUAAGAGUUUGGACUUCAAGGCCUGAGGUUGUGGGUUCAAAUCCCACUACUGACACCACUGUGUGACCCUGAGCAAGUCACAUGAUCUGCCUGUGCUCCAAUUGGGAAACCAAAAGAAAUGUCACCAACUGUAUCAUAAAUGUUGUAAGUCACCUUGGAGAAAGGCGUCAGCCCAAUAAGUAAAUGAUCUGGUGACUCUGACCAGAAGGACACACAGACUCCUGUCCCUUUAUUAAGGUGGGUGGGAAUGUACAGUAUGUGCUUGUAAUGACUCUGCCCCCUACAGGCGCCGAUGUGUCUCGCUAUAUCAACCCCAGACCUGGGACUGAUUUGGAGUCCCUCUUCUAAAUGGGUUAUUUUUGCAUGAAUGCUUAUUGGUCCUGUCUUGCUAGAUGUGAGAAGCGUGACAUCUUGUCUCAUCUGUGAUCCUCUACAAGCAUAAAGGUUUGUUCAGCUCCUCCAUGCAGUCUUCACAAUCAGGUGAUUCCCUUCGUUUGAAAAAAACUUUUUUAUAUUUUGAAGGUGGGAUUUUUGCAGGAAGGAGAAACUUCCAAUUUUGGAGAAAAGGUGCCCUAAUUUGCAUAGAGCCACACCCCCCCUGUAGAGCCACACCUCAGCACUCCUGUUAUGCCCCGCCCCUCAUCCAUGUCUUCCAACACCAAGACACUUGAGCUGUGUACACUGUGGAAAAGUAUGUACAUCACGACAUUAAAGCUUGUUUGACUUAUCAAAAAAAAAGUGUGUUUAUGAUUAUUUAGCCUACGUUAAGAAAUCUUGUCAGGUAAAUUUUGCUUACCCCAUUGGCAGAUUUUUUUUUUUUGCUAAAUAAAAGCAAAACAACUCCCAUUUAAAGUUCUUUUUUUUUGUUUUCGUUUUUGCAUAUGGCAGUGUAGAGUGGUGACUGGCGUCGAGUCCUCUUCUGUUGUGCCGUGUCACCGUGUCCCUCGGCGAUGGCUUCGCCGUGUUCAAAGCCCUUGACUUCAUUGUGUGUAGGUGCAUGUGGACUACUGCUCUGUCUGAAGUGAUCACUUUGUAUUUUUUGGUAAAAUGUAAAUAAAGUUUUAAAUUACUACAUGUUCAUUGA